rnacentral:rRNA from 1 species
UACAGAGGGGGCAAGCGUUGUUCGGAAUUACUGGGCGUAAAGGGCGCGUAGGCGGCCUGUUAAGUCGAACGUGAAAUCCCCGGGCUCAACCCGGGAACUGCGUCCGAUACUGGCAGGCUUGAAUCCGGGAGAGGGAUGCGGAAUUCCAGGUGUAGCGGUGAAAUGCGUAGAUAUCUGGAGGAACACCGGUGGCGAAGGCGGCAUCCUGGACCGGCAUUGACGCUGGAGGCGCGAA